rnacentral:lncRNA from 1 species
CCGGCCAAAGCAAGAACAAAGGAAGAAAAGGAAGAACAAAACCCUAGGUGGAAAAAUUCAAGGGAAAAGUGUGAAAAUUCAAGGAAACAAGUGAAAAAAAUGUAAGAUAUUUCAAUUAAGCUUGUGAUCUAUCUUUCUUAAGCAUUUUUUCUUAUUUUCCAUGGUUGAAUCACAAGAUAUCAUGAAGGAUAGUGUGCUGAUCAAACCCUAGGAGAGAGAAUUUGAUGAUGAUUUAGAUAGAUUUUUAAGAUAUAUGGAUGUUUUUAGUUGUUUAUGGUGUUAAGUGUAAGAAUUAAGCUUGAAAUUCACAUAUUCCUCAUGAGUUCAUCAUUGGCCANAAUCAAGUAGGAAAAAUCAUAGUAUUGAUGCACCCACCAUGGCCGAAUUUUCCAAGAGAAAAUGUGAGGAUGAUUUUGCCAUAUUUCAAGUUAUUUAAUUUGUGUUUGAUGAUUUGGAGUAUUGGGAGAAAAAUGGAAUUAUUUGGAGUUAAAUUGGACAUAUUGGCCAAUUAAUCGAGUGAUGGAUCGAAUUAGACCAAUACCGUUUUAUUUAGGUACACAAUUGAAUUUGUGUAGAACACCAUGUUUAGACGAAAUUCGAACAAUUUGCAUUCUAUUUCAUGCAUUAGUAUAGAGCCUGAAUUGGUUUUAUAACAAUUUAGCACAAAUGUAGUAAAUGGCUUAUUGUGCAUUAUGUCUAGAUAAUGAGCAUUCUGGCAAAAGUAAAAAGAUAGUACCCGAGGAUCAAGAAUCGGAGUACUCAGAAUUCGACUCUCAAAAUAGUGAGUAACCUUACUAUCAUCUUGAUUAUCUGAAGUGAAUUUUAAUUCGUUUUUGUGAUUUUAUGGAAAAAUGAGUUUAAAUGGUAAAUCUUUAUGUUUUAUAAACAAAAUGUGUUUAAAUGAAAUGAUUUUAUAAAUUGUCUUAAAAUUGAAAGAUGGUUUUGAAAAUGGAGUAAUUGGAGACUAAUUGUUGUGUUAUAAAUCAUGGUUUAAAUUGAAUGUCUUAUGAUAAUAUUUGCAUGAAUGGUUGAAUUGGUAGUUGUGUUGAAAAUGUAUGAACUGUUAAUUUGCCUUGAGAGGCUGUAAAAUAAAAUAAUUGCCAUGUCAUGUUAUCGCAAAUUUUAUUGUAUGGUGGGUUAUAAAUUGGUCGCUGCAAUGGACAGGUUCCGUGGACCAACCUAUUGAGGGGCACGGUAACCCUAUUAUAUUCAUACCUUAGUAUGAGAGGUGCGGUUGGAUAACUCUUGAGGUUAAAACUUUAGAGUUCACUUCAUGUCAAACCACCACGUGAGGGUGAACUCAGCCAAUGCCAAGGAAUGAUUAUGUUUUCAAAAUAAAAACAUGAUUUAUACGUACAUAACUUUUUAACAGCCUUGGCGGUCUCGGUUGGGAUAGCCCUCGGCCAAGGUAUCCCUGAUAACUGAGUAUGAGAAUAAUUUUGGCAUGAGCCAAAGUUUUAAGAAAUUUAUAAGCCAUGUUGAUUACUCGAUUUAUAUGAAUUGAUUUUAUUUGGUUGAAAUGAGGUGAAAGGUGACGAAUUAUAGUAUGUUAAACUAUUUUAUCUAUCUCCAUUUACUCAGCUUUAAAUAUUUUAGAUGGUAUUUGUUUACUCACUAGGAUUAUAUAAUCUCACCACCCUCCUCUCCACCCAUUUCAAGCUUAGAAUAGUUAGUAGAUAGCUCACUUUGUUGAGGGCUACAAUUGGACUUACAUCAUCAAAAACUGUAGGUUUACCGCUUUGGAUACUUUUGGUCGUUUGUGGGCCCACGUGUCACUGUAAAUUAAAUUUUAUACUUUGGUUAUUUGUAUUACAAUAUGUAUGAAUUUAUUUAGCUUUUACGCUACAAAAAUUAUUUACCGGUAACUCUAUAAAUAUUGUUUUAUAAGAAAAUAGAAUAUUUUAUUGAAUAUUUUUAUUAUAUUCAAAUAGUCAUAAUUUCAUUUCAAAUGAAUGUUUUAGACAUCUAAACUGAUUUUUGAUUAUGAAAUAUGUGUUUUUCACUCGCAUACUACAUUUUUAGCUAGUUUCGAGAUUUUUGAGAAAAAAUGACCAAAAUACCCCUAUGAGAAAAAAAUUAUUUUUCUAUUGUUUUGACUUCGAAAUAGUUUAUAAUCUCUCAAAACAUAAUACUUAACAACUGUUGCUCAUAGGUGAGGUGCGAAAAACUGAUAUUAAAGCCUUGCGAGGUUCCGGUUGGCAUUUCGAGCAAUGAAUAUCUAUUGGGGACGUCGCGGUGGUUGUCACGGGCUCCAGGGGAGUACUGGGUCGUGAUAGUUUCUUGUCCCAACACUUCAAUAUCGCCAACCAUCUGAUCAGAAACUUCUCUUGUAUUCACCAAUUCCUCUUCAAUUACAUCUUCACUUUCUCAUAGGGAUCCUAAUUCUGAAUUGCUAAAUACUACAUCAACACAUGCUGAAUAACAGGAACAUGAGAAUCCUCACUCUUUCUCUGUCUUAUAAUGUACUUGAUUCAAGGGAAUGGCUAUCCAAUUCCCCUUAUAUUCCUAUUACUAGUCAAAUAUGUCAUUUGGUUUAUGAGAAUGGCCAUUCUAUAACGUACUUGGUUCAAGGGAAUGAUAUUCUUAUUACCAAACAAAUAAGUCAUUUGGUUCAUAGGAAUGGGCAUUCCUUGAGGGGUUAGAAUAGGCAUUACCAAGGCCCCUUUUAGUAAUGUUUAUUCAAAACCAGUAGGAAUAAGAAAAAAAUGAUUUGAUGAAAUUACCCUUUUACGAUGUCAAAAAUUACCUUCUUAUAUAAUAUCAAUCCAUUCUUUUUUUCUCUCUUUUCCUCACUCCUCCUUUUUAAAGCAACCCCAUUUUUUAUUUUUCCUAUCUUUUCCUCACUCAAUUUCUCUCUAAAGUAAGUUAAGUAGCAUCAUUU